CCGAGUUUACAACUCCCAAACCCAUGUGAACGUUACCAACUGUUGCCUCGGCGGGUCAGCCCGGGUGCCGUAAAGACGGACCAGGCGCCGCCGAGGACCCACUAAACUCUUCGUGUCUCGGAGUAUUAAGCUCUGAGCAAAAAUAAAUGAAUC
rnacentral:misc_RNA from 1 species